ACGGGGCGCAGCAGGCGCGAAACCUCCGCAAUGCGGGAAACCGCGACGGGGUCAGCCGGAGUGCCGAUGCUUGCAUCGGCUGUCGGGGAGCCUAAAAAGCUCCCCAUAGCAAGGGCCGGGCAAGGCCGGUGGCAGCCGCCGCGGUAAUACCGGCGGCCCGAGUGGCGGCCACUAUUAUUGGGCUUAAAGCGUCCGUAGCCGGGUUGGUUAGUCUCCCGGGAAAUCUGGCCGCUUAACGGUCAGAAUUCCGGGAGAUACUGCCAGCCUAGGGACCGGGAGAGACCGAGGGUAUUCCCGGAGUAGGGGUGAAAUCCUAUAAUCCCGGGAGGACCACCUGUGGCGAAGGCGCUCGGCUGGAACGGGUCCGACGGUGAGGGACGAAGGCCAGGGGAGCAAACCGGAUUAGAUACCCGGGUAGUCCUGGCUGUAAACGAUGCGGACUUUGUGUCGGACAAGCUAUGAGCUUGUCCGGUGCCGGAGGGAAACCGUUAAGUCCGCCGCCUGGGGAGUACGGCCGCAAGGCUGAAACUUAAAGGAAUUGGCGGGGGAG
rnacentral:rRNA from 1 species